rnacentral:misc_RNA from 1 species
CAGCCGCGUAAUUCCAGCUCCCAUAGCGUAUAUUAAAGUUGUUGCAGUUAAAAAGCUCGUAGUUGAACCUCGGGGUCUACCCAUUGGUCAGGCUUAAUUGUCUGCACUGGUGAGAUGGAUCUCUACCUUCUGAGGAACUUUCAUGCCAUUUAUUUGGUGUGAUGGGAAAUCAGGACUGUUACUUUGAAAAAAUUAGAGUGUUUAAUGCAGACUAUCGUCUGAAUACAUUAGCAUGGAAUAAUGAAAUAGGACGGACUGAUUCUAUUUCGUUGGUUUCUAGGAUCAACGUAAUGAUUAAUAGGGAUAGUUGGGGGCAUUAGUAUUCAAUUGUCAGAGGUGAAAUUCUUGGAUUUAUUGAAGACUAACUACUGCGAAAGCAUUUGCCAAGGAUGUUUUCAUUAAUCAAGAACGAAAGUUAGGGGAUCGAAGACGAUCAGAUACCGUCGUAGUCUUAACCAUAAACUAUGCCGACUAGGGAUCGGACGAAGUUAAUUUUAUAAUGACGCGUUCGGCACCUUACG